UACGUAGGGCGCAAGCGUUAUCCGGAAUUAUUGGGCGUAAAGAGCUCGUAGGCGGUCUGUCGCGUCUGCUGUGAAAACCUAGGGCUUAACUCUGGGCGUGCAGUGGGUACGGGCAGACUAGAGUGCGGUAGGGGAGAUUGGAAUUCCUGGUGUAGCGGUGGAAUGCGCAGAUAUCAGGAGGAACACCGAUGGCGAAGGCAGAUCUCUGGGCCGUAACUGACGCUGAGGAGCGAAAGCAUGGGGAGCGAACAGG
rnacentral:rRNA from 1 species